rnacentral:tRNA from 1 species
GGGGUUGUGGCUCAGUGGUAGAGCCCUCACCUCUUAAGUGUGAAACCCUGGGUUCAAUCCUCAGCACCACA